UGCAGUCGACGGAAGGCCCUGCUUUUGUGGGGUGCUCGAGUGGCGAACGGGUGAGUAACACGUGAGUAACCUGCCCUUGACUUUGGGAUAACUUCAGGAAACUGGGGCUAAUACCGGAUAGGAGCUCCUGCUGCAUGGUGGGGGUUGGAAAGUUUCGGCGGUUGGGGAUGGACUCGCGGCUUAUCAGCUUGUUGGUGGGGUAGUGGCUUACCAAGGCUUUGACGGGUAGCCGGCCUGAGAGGGUGACCGGCCACAUUGGGACUGAGAUACGGCCCAGACUCCUACGGGAGGCAGCAGUGGGGAAUAUUGCACAAUGGGCGGAAGCCUGAUGCAGCAACGCCGCGUGCGGGAUGACGGCCUUCGGGUUGUAAACCGCUUUCGCCUGUGACGAAGCGUGAGUGACGGUAAUGGGUAAAGAAGCACCGGCUAACUACGUGCCAGCAGCCGCGGUGAUACGUAGGGUGCGAGCGUUGUCCGGAUUUAUUGGGCGUAAAGGGCUCGUAGGUGGUUGAUCGCGUCGGAAGUGUAAUCUUGGGGCUUAACCCUGAGCGUGCUUUCGAUACGGGUUGACUUGAGGAAGGUAGGGGAGAAUGGAAUUCCUGGUGUAGCGGUGAAAUGCGUAGA
rnacentral:rRNA from 1 species